rnacentral:rRNA from 1 species
CAGUCGCCACGGUAAUACGAAGGGGGCUAGCGUUGCUCGGAAUCACUGGGCGUAAAGGGUGCGUAGGCGGGUCUUUAAGUCAGGGGUGAAAUCCUGGAGCUCAACUCCAGAACUGCCUUUGAUACUGAAGAUCUUGUGUUCGGGAGAGGUGAGUGGAACUGCGAGUGUAGAGGUGAAAUUCGUAGAUAUUCGCAAGAACACCAGUGGCGAAGGCGGCUCACUGGCCCGAUACUGACGCUGAGGCACGAAAGCGUGGGGAGCAAACAGGAUUAGAUACCCCUGUAGUCCCUGUCUCUUAUAC